rnacentral:rRNA from 1 species
UAGGGAAUAUUGGUUAAUGGGCGAAAGCCCGACCCAGCAACGCCGCGUGCACGAAGAAGGCCUUCGGGUUGUAAAGUGCUUUUUAGUGGGAUGAGGAAGGACAGUACCACUAGAAUAAGUCUCGGCUAACUACGUGCCAGCAGCCGCGGUAACACGUAGGAGACGAGCGUUAUCCGGAUUUACUGGGUGUAAAGCGCGUGCAGGCGGUCGGGUAAGUUGGAUGUGAAAGCUCCUGGCUUAACUGGGAGAG